GAUGAACGCUGGCGGCGUGCCUAAUACAUGCAAGUCGAGCGAAUGGAUUAAGAGCUUGCUCUUAUGAAGUUAGCGGCGGACGGGUGAGUAACACGUGGGUAACCUGCCCAUAAGACUGGGAUAACUCCGGGAAACCGGGGCUAAUACCGGAUAACAUUUUGAACCGCAUGGUUCGAAAUUGAAAGGCGGCUUCGGCUGUCACUUAUGGAUGGAGCCGCGUCGCAUUAGCUAGUGGGUGAGGUAACGGCUCACCAAGGCAACGAGGCGUAGCCGACCUGAGAGGGUGAUCGGCCACACUGGGACUGAGACACGGCCCAGACUCCUACGGGAGGCAGCAGUAGGGAAUCUUCCGCAAUGGACGAAAGUCUGACGGAGCAACGCCGCGUGAGUGAUGAAGGCUUUCGGGUCGUAAAACUCUGUUGUUAGGGAAGAACAAAUGCUAGUUGAAUAAGCUGGCACCUUGACGGUACCUAACCAGAAAGCCACGGCUAACUACGUGCCAGCCGCCGCAGUAA
rnacentral:rRNA from 1 species